GGGGGAUAGGAGAAAGACAGGAAGCUUUGCACCAUAGCAGCAAGCAGGGCCCAGGGCGGGGCUCUUUCCUAAGAGGUUUUUUUUCUCUUAGGGAAUUCCUCUACCAAAGGUUCCUUUUCUUUGGGAGUUUUCCAAAGUUUAGUGAGAACCUUUUAUCCCCCGCUUUUCAGUUUCUUUUUCUUCUUUUCUCUCUGUUAGCGCGACACACCUGGCCCAACAGAUAAGCCAACACAGAGUGGUGCCCUUGUUGCCAUGCACAAGCAUUAUUACCUUUUGCAGUGGUCAGCUCCUUCAAGCCACACUUCUGAAAAAGACUGCUUGUCCUGCUUCUGCUUAACUUUACACUCGUAAGCAGAAGUACUGUGGCACAGUGACACCCACCACUCGCCCCCUGAGAUAAUUUGCAUUAGUCAGUUACAGUCUUAUCACCAAAAAGGCCUCAGGAAGCAAACUUUGAACCAAAAAAAAAGACCAAAGACCACAGUUGUUGUUUUUCACAAAAUGAUAAAGAAUUAGAGGAGUUCUUUGUCCCUUUGUUUUGUUUGUUUGUUUGUUUUUUAAUACAACUCCCAGGUUUUGCAUGCAAGACAAUAGGUAACAGCUUUGCCUAUCUACUAAGGAAAUAAUGUACUACAGAAUUCUUAAAAGACCACUUAUGACCCAGAAGUGGUACUGCAAGAGGAGUUGUUAGAUUUAUCUCUUUCACUGCAUGACACAUCUAGCUGUAGCACGACUCAAUGUGACUUGCAAUGGCUGGUUCUGAAGUUGUGAUUUAGGGCUAAACAGGAGUCAGAAAAUCUCCUAUCUAUGACACCUCUAUUUUGAUUAUCAUAUCCAAACACAAUGUUAGGAUUGCUGUCAGGAGAGAAAUAUUUUUUUAAUUGCCUAUUGAUGCAAAUUAUAAUAAAAAGCAAUAAAUUUGAAUUUACCAUCUUAAAAGUAACUUUAAA